ensembl:lncRNA
AUAUGUCUGAAGGAGCCAGCAGAUCUGGAAACAAGAAGACAUUCUGUUGAAGGGUCAGUCCAGAGAGGAACCUAGGAACUGGCCUGGAAGUGGAGUCUACAGGUACUGAGAGGAGUUUUCUGAGCCCACUGGCAUGUCAAAUAGAAAAAGCAGAAGCUCUGGAGGAAUGAGAAGAUAAGGAGUGACCAGAGAGGCACAGAGAGCAGGAGAAAUUGUGAUGGCAGCUCACCAGGCUCCUCCGUCCCUGGGAUUCUCCAGGCAAGAACACUGGAGUGGGUUGCCAUUUCCUUCUCCAAUGCAUGAAAGUGAAAAGUGAAAGGGAAGUCACUCAGCCGUGUCCAACUCUUUGCGACUCCACGGACUGCAGCCCACCAGGCUUCUCCGUCCAUGGGAUUUUCCAGGUUUUCUAUAAGAACUUCAAUUUCCUGGUUUCCGCUUCUGAGAUCCGCCUUUUAAAAAAGUAAAUCAUUAAUUGAUCUUCCGGUGUUUGGACCAUGCCGAUGGCAGCAUUGUGGAGCAUGUAGGUGAACACUACAAUUUAGAGGCAAUUCAGAAGCAAUACAAUCAACUUAUCUCUUUAAACUCACUCCUACACCCCUGUGUGCUCUCCUACACAUGUUCCAUUUAUUUUGUUAUUUUGGUUAUUAAACUCAAUUCUGG